rnacentral:rRNA from 1 species
GCAGGCGCGCAAAUUACCCAAUCCCGACUCGGGGAGGUAGUGACAAUAAAUACUGAUACAGGGCUCUUUUGGGUCUUGUAAUUGGAAUGAGUACAAUUUAAAUCCCUUAACGAGGAACAAUUGGAGGGCAAGUCUGGUGCCAGCAGCCGCGGUAAUUCCAGCUCCAAUAGCGUAUAUUAAAGUUGUUGUGGUUAAAAAGCUCGUAGUUGAACCUUGGGCCUGGCUGGCCGGUCCGCCUCACCGCGUGUACUGGUCCGGCCGGGCCUUUCCCUCUGUGGAACCCCAUGCCCUUCACUGGGUGUGGCGGGGAAACAGGACUUUUACUUUGAAAAAAUUAGAGUGCUCCAGGCAGGCCUAUGCUCGAAUACAUUAGCAUGGAAUAAUAAAAUAGGACGUGUGGUUCUAUUUUGUUGGUUUCUAGGACCGCCGUAAUGAUUAAUAGGGACAGUCGGGGGCAUCAGUAUUCAAUUGUCAGAGGUGAAAUUCUUGGAUUUAUUGAAGACUAACUACUGCGAAAGCAUUUGCCAAGGAUGUUUUCAUUAAUCAGGAACGAAAGUUAGGGGAUCGAAGACGAUCAGAUACCGUCGUAGUCUUAACCAUAAACUAUGCCGACUAGGGAUCGGACGAUGUUAUUAUUUGACUCGUUCGGCACCUUACGAGAAAUCAAAGUGCUUGGGCUCCAGG